UACGAAGGGGGCUAGCGUUGUUCGGAAUUACUGGGCGUAAAGCGCGCGCAGGCGGUCUUCUAAGUCAGUGGUGAAAGCCCGGAGCUCAACUCCGGAACUGCCAUUGAAACUGUAAGACUUGAGGACGAGAGAGGUGAGUGGAAUUCCCAGUGUAGAGGUGAAAUUCGUAGAUAUUGGGAAGAACACCGGUGGCGAAGGCGGCUCACUGGCUCGUAUCUGACGCUCAGGCGCGACAGCGUGGGGAUCAAACAGG
rnacentral:rRNA from 1 species